rnacentral:rRNA from 1 species
UGCAAGUCGAGCGAACUUAACUAAAUGAAUGCGGUGCUUGCACCAAGUGAUUUUAGAGCGGUGAGCGGCGGAUGGGUGAGUAACACGUGGGUAACCUGCCUCUAAGCAGGGGAUAACAUUUGGAAACAGAUGCUAAUACCGUAUAAAUCCUAAAACCACAUGGUUUUAGGCUGAAAGGCGGCUUCGGCUGUCACUUAGAGAUGGACCCGCGGCGUAUUAGCUAGUUGGUGAGGUAAUGGCUCACCAAGGCAAUGAUACGUAGCCGAACUGAGAGGUUGAUCGGCCACAUUGGGACUGAGACACGGCCCAAACUCCUACGGGAGGCAGCAGUAGGGAAUCUUCCACAAUGGACGCAAGUCUGAUGGAGCAACGCCGCGUGAGUGAAGAAGGCUUUCGGGUCGUAAAACUCUGUUGUUGAAGAAGAACACGUUUGAGAGUAACUGUUCAGACGUUGACGGUAUUCAACCAGAAAGCCACGGCUAACUACGUGCCAGCAGCCGCGGUAAUACGUAGGUGGCAAGCGUUAUCCGGAUUUAUUGGGCGUAAAGCGAGCGCAGGCGGUUUUUUAAGUCUGAUGUGAAAGCCCUCGGCUUAACCGAGGAAGUGCAUCGGAAACUGGGAAACUUGAAUGCUGAAGAGGACAGUGGAACUCCAUGUGUAGCGGUGAAAUGCGUAGAUAUAUGGAAGAACACCAGUGGCGAAGGCGGCUGUCUGGUCAGUUAUUGACGCUGAGGCUCGAAAGCAUGGGUAGCGAACAGGAUUAGAUACCCUGGUAGUCCAUGCCGUAAACGAUGAAUACUAGGUGUUGGAGGGUUUCCGCCCUUCAGUGCCGCAGCUAACGCAUUAAGUAUUCCGCCUGGGGAGUACGACCGCAAGGUUGAAACUCAAAGGAAUUGACGGGGGCCCGCACAAGCGGUGGAGCAUGUGGUUUAAUUCGAAGCAACGCGAAGAACCUUACCAGGUCUUGACAUCUUCUGCUAUUUCUAGAGAUAGAAAGUUCCCUUCGGGGACGGAAUGACAG